rnacentral:lncRNA from 14 species
GUUUACCUUGUGCAUGUUUAACAGAUGAGUAAUGGGAAUUUUUUUUCCUCUGGCAUCAGGAAAGUAUUGGCCUGAAUGGGACUUCAGGGAACAUCUAAGGCAGCCUUUUGACUGAAGAAGAAAUAGUUUACCCAGAGAUACUUAUUUAGACUGUUUUCAAACUACCUACUGAAGAAGAUUUCAUCUCUUCCCAAGUUCAUGGAAACAAAGCACACAGGCUGGAGUGUGAUGACAAAACUUCUUCCAGGAUUAAAAAAAACCCAGGUUAUUCAUGUCUUAUAAGAUCUGAUAUACAAUCAGUCCUUC